GUACACUCCUACGGGAGGCAGCAGUGAGGAAUAUUGGACAAUGGGUGGAAGCCUGAUCCAGCCAUCCCGCGUGCAGGAAGACGGCCCUAUGGGUUGUAAACUGCUUUUAUCUGGGGAUAAACCUACUUACGUGUAAGUAGCUGAAGGUACCAGAAGAAUAAGCACCGGCUAACUCCGUGCCAGCAGCCGCGGUAAUACGGAGGGUGCAAGCGUUAUCCGGAUUUAUUGGGUUUAAAGGGUCCGUAGGCGGACUGAUAAGUCAGUGGUGAAAUCCGACAGCUUAACUGUCGAACUGCCAUUGAUACUGUUAGUCUUGAGUAAGGUUGAAGUGGCUGGAAUAAGUAGUGUAGCGGUGAAAUGCAUAGAUAUUACUUAGAACACCAAUUGCGAAGGCAGGUCACUAAGUCUUAACUGACGCUGAUGGACGAAAGCGUGGGGAGCGAACAGGAUUAGAAACCCCAGUAGUCCCAUG
rnacentral:rRNA from 1 species